AUACGGAAGGCAGCAGUGAGGAAUAUUGCGCAAUGGGGGAAACCCUGACGCAGCGACGCCGCGUGGGCGACGAAGGCCUUCGGGUCGUAAAGCCCUUUUGUCAGGGACGAGUGAGGACGGUACCUGGCGAAUAAGUCUCGGCUAACUACGUGCCAGCAGCCGCGGUAAAACGUAGGAGGCGAGCGUUAUCCGGAUUCACUGGGCGUAAAGCGCGCGUAGGCGGUUUGUUAAGUCGGAUGUGAAAGCCCCUGGCUCAACUGGGGGAGGUCAUUCGAUACUGGCAGGCUUGAGGGUGAGAGAGGGGAGUGGAAUUCCCGGUGUAGCGGUGGAAUGCGUAGAGAUCGGGAGGAACACCAGUGGCGAAGGCGGCUCCCUGGCUCACUCCUGACGCUGAGAGCGCGAAAGCGUGGGGAGCAAACGGGAUUAGAUACCCCGGU
rnacentral:rRNA from 1 species